UACGUAGGGGCUAGCGUUGUCCGGAAUCAUUGGGCGUAAAGCGCGCGUAGGCGGCCCGGUAAGUCCGCUGUGAAAGUCAAAGGCUCAACCUUUGAAUGUCAGCGGAUACUGCCGGGCUAGAGUCCGGAAGAGGCGAGUGGAACUCCUGGUGUAGCGGUGGAAUGCGCAGAUAUCGUAAGGAAGACCAGUGGCGAAGGCGGGUCUCUGGACAGUUCCUGACGCUGAGGCACGAAGGUCAGGGGAGCAAACGGGG
rnacentral:rRNA from 1 species